rnacentral:rRNA from 1 species
AUGGCGCUCCGGCAACUCUACAUCUGCGUCCUGUUGGUGUUUCUUCUCCUGGUGGUCGCUUUUGCUGGCCGCCCAAGCACGCCACAGCAGACGCCCAUGGCCUUGGCCCGCGACGACUGCUACAAGACUGUGGCGAGUGUGCCGAAGUGGUGCUCGGGGCAAUUCAUCCAGGCGCUCUUCACCGGCAACAAGAACAUCAUCACCGAAUACUGUUGCGCACAGCUCACCUGCGUCGGCGAGGCAACUUGUGCCUCCGCGCUCCACGGCGUCUGCCCACCCCCCAAGACUGACCUGCCAUGCCCCCCGCACCAGGGCGGUGGCAUAUGCCUUACCCAUAUGGUGUGCCAGUGUGGCUGUGGCCCACCUAUCACUGGCAGGGAGGGAGUCAUAAAGGAGUUGGGUGCCUUGCGUGUGCUGAUCUUUGUGCAGAAAACCCCUCAUGAUUUGUUUAGUUACCCAGAAAAGCCCUUGACUGACCCUGACCAGCAGAAAAAGAUGCUGACAGUUUUUUUUCCGCAAAAACAACCCACGCACAGGGCCCUUUCGGCACAGGAUCCUUUGGAAUGGCCGUCUUGGACGUUGUUCGAGUCCAGGGCACAUGCGGUUAGGUUAUCUCCUGGGUUGCUAUGGCCAGUUCAGAAUCGUUGCUUUGUAGCCCCAAUUCCCAAGUCAUCUUGGGUAUGCGGUCGUUUGCCGGUUUGGAGGUCGCUAGAGAGGCUGGUCGUCCCUGCGUUCGGAUCGAGUUCUGGUAAUUGGUUUGUUUGGUUUGGUGUCUCCUGGGUUAUCACGUGCCCGUGUAAAAACACAAAACAAGCGUAUCCAUUGUCGUCAUGA